CCUACGGGAGGCAGCAGUGGGGAAUUUUGCGCAAUGCUCGUAAGAGUGACGCAGCGACGCCGCGUGAGGGAUGAAGGUUUUCGGAUCGUAAACCUCUGUCAGGAGGGAAGAAAGCGCAUGGCGCCAAUCAGCCAUGCGUUGACGGUACCUCCAAAGGAAGCGCCGGCUAACUCCGUGCCAGCAGCCGCGGUAAUACGGAGGGCGCGAGCGUUAAUCGGAAUUACUGGGCGUAAAGCGCGCGUAGGCUGUUGUGUAAGUUGGGGGUGAAAUCCCACGGCUCAACCGUGGAACAGCCCUUGAUCCUGGAGGACUUGAAUCCGUGCGAGGGUGGCGGAAUUCCAGGUGUAGGAGUGAAAUCCGUAGAUAUCUGGAGGAACAUCAGUGGCGAAGGCGGCCACCUGGACCGGUAUUGACGCUGAGGCGCGAAAGCGUGGGGAGCAAACAGGAUUAGAUACCCUUGUAGUC
rnacentral:rRNA from 1 species